UACAGAGGGUGCAAGCGUUGUUCGGAAUUAUUGGGCGUAAAGGGCGCGUAGGCGGUGCUGUAAGUCUGUGGUGAAAUCUCUGGGCUCAACUCAGAGUCUGCCAUAGAAACUGCAGUGCUAGAAUCUUGGAGAGGCGAGUGGAAUUCCGAGUGUAGAGGUGAAAUUCGUAGAUAUUCGGAAGAACACCAGUGGCGAAGGCGGCUCACUGGCCCGUUACCGACGCUCAGGCGCGACAGCGUGGGGAGCAAACAGG
rnacentral:rRNA from 1 species